rnacentral:tRNA from 1 species
GCUUCUGAAGGAUAACAGCUCAUCCCUU